AGUGAACGCUGGCGGUAGGCCUAACACAUGCAAGUCGAACGGCAGCACAGUAAGAGCUUGCUCUUACGGGUGGCGAGUGGCGGACGGGUGAGGAAUACAUCGGAAUCUACUUUUUCGUGGGGGAUAACGUAGGGAAACUUACGCUAAUACCGCAUACGACCUACGGGUGAAAGCAGGGGAUCUUCGGCCCUUGCGCGAUUGAAUGAGCCGAUGUCGGAUUAGCUAGUUGGCGGGGUAAAGGCCCACCAAGGCGACGAUCCGUAGUUGGUCUGAGAGGAUGAUCAGCCACACUGGAACUGAGACACGGUCCAGACUCCUACGGGAGGCAGCAGUGGGGAAUAUUGGACAAUGGGCGCAAGCCUGAUCCAGCCAUACCGCGUGGGUGAAGAAGGCCUUCGGGUUGUAAAGCCCUUUUGUUGGGAAAGAAAAGCAGCAGGUUAAUACCCCGCUGUUCUGACGGUACCCAAAGAAUAAGCACCGGCUAACUUCGUG
rnacentral:rRNA from 1 species